UAUUGGUUAAUGGGGGGAACCCUGAUCCAGCGACGCCGCGUGAGUGAAGAAGUAUUUCGGUAUGUAAAGCUCUAUCAGCAGGGAAGAANGAAAUGACGGUACCUGACUAAGAAGCCCCUGCUAACUACGUGCCAGCAGCCGCGGUAAUACGUAGGGGGCAAGCGUUAUCCGGAUUUACUGGGUGUAAAGGGAACGUAGACGACGAUGCAAGUCUGAAGUGAAAGGCGGGGGCCCAACCCCCGGACUGCUUUGGAAACUGUAUAGCUGGAGUGCAGGAGAGGUAAGUGGAAUUCCUAGUGUAGCGGUGAAAUGCGUAGAUAUUAGGAGGAACACCAGUGGCGAAGGCAGCUUACUGGACUGUAACUGACGUUGAGGCUCGAAAGCGUGGGGAGCAA
rnacentral:rRNA from 1 species